GCCCGGGUGGCGGAAUGGCAGACGCGCAAGACUUAAAAUCUUGUGGGAGCAAUCCCGUGUGGGUUCGAGUCCCACCCCGGGCAC
rnacentral:tRNA from 1 species